CAGCUGUCUCUUGUGCUUGAUCUAACCAUGUGCCCCCGCCUACACUCGCCUCACAUGGUUCCGUCAAGCACCAGGGACCGCUG
rnacentral:pre_miRNA from 1 species